rnacentral:rRNA from 1 species
GGUACACACCGCCCGUCGCUCCUAUCGAUUGAAUUAUCCGAUGAAUUGUAAGGAGGAUGGAUAAGGUAGCAAUAUCUUGUUUGUCCAAAUUACAAUAAAUCUUAUAAUUUAGAGGAAGGAGAAGUCGUAACAAGGUAACCGUAGGUGAACCUGCAGAAGGAUCA